GCCGACUUAGCUCAGUGGAUCAGAGCGUUCGCCUCCGGAGCGAAAGGUCGUGGGUUCGAGCCCCACAGUCGGCACCA
rnacentral:tRNA from 3 species